GGGAGGUAUAGAUAUAGAGCUGUUAUAUUAUCUAUGAGGGGAGGUAUAGAUAUAGAGCUGUUAUAUUAUCUAUGAGGGGAGAUAUAGAUAUAGAGCUGUUAUAUUAUCUAUGAGGGGAGGUAUAGAUAUAGAGCUGUUAUAUUAUCUAUGAUGGGAGGUAUAGAUAUAGAUAUAGAGCUGUUAUAUUAUCUAUGAGGGGAGAUAUAGAUAUAGAUAUAGAGCUGUUAUAUUAUCUAUGAGGGGAGGUAUAGAUAUAGAUAUAGAGCUGUUAUAUUAUCUAUGAGGGGAGGUAUAGAUAUAGAGCUGUUAUAUUAUCUAUGACGGGAGGUAUAGAUAUAGAUAUAGAGCUGUUAUAUUAUCUAUGACGGGAG
rnacentral:lncRNA from 1 species